rnacentral:rRNA from 1 species
UAGGUGGCAAGCGUUGUCCGGAAUUACUGGGUGUAAAGGGAGCGCAGGUGGGAUGGAAAGUUGGAUGUUUAAUCUACGGGCUCAACUCGUAUCAGCAUUCAAAACUAUCAUUCUUGAGUGGAGUAGAGGCAGGCGGAAUUCCAGGUGUAGCGGUGGAAUGCGUAGAUAUCUGGAGGAACACCAGUGGCGAAGGCGGCCUGCUGGGCUCUAACUGACACUGAGGCUCGAAAGCGUGGGUAGCAAA